AUCCGCGACCGUGCCGGUGAGCUAUAAGAGAAACGACAUAAGAGACGGUUUUUUCGGAUAUACUCGUAAUAUUACAUCGUCCAUACGUAUAAUAUGUAUUCCGUUGUAGCCGCCGCCUUACACCGGAAGUGCAUCGUCGGCUCUAUGCGCGUUGCCGUGUUGUUGUUAUUGUAUCUAUAGUAUCCUCAACCAAUCGACAAGUUGUAAACAUAAUUUUCGCGAGUGGUUUCCG